rnacentral:ncRNA from 14 species
CCUUCGAUAGCUCAGUUGGUAGAGCGGUGGACUGUAGCGGAAUAUAAUUUGUAGACAUCCAUAGGUCGCUGGUUCAAAUCCGGCUCGAAGGA